GGCCGCCCGCCCCAGCAACAUCCUGGUGCUGAGUGGGGACAUAGUACCUCCAGCAUCAGCGAUUUUGUUGGCGAGGGCG
rnacentral:pre_miRNA from 13 species